AGGUUUUCUUGCCUCAUGCAAGUCGAGCGCCCCGCAAGGGGAGCGGCAGACGGGUGAGUAACGCGUGGGAAUCUACCCAUCACUACGGAACAACUCCGGGAAACUGGAGCUAAUACCGUAUACGUCCUUCGGGAGAAAGAUUUAUCGGUGAUGGAUGAGCCCGCGUUGGAUUAGCUAGUUGGUGGGGUAAUGGCCUACCAAGGCGACGAUCCAUAGCUGGUCUGAGAGGAUGAUCAGCCACACUGGGACUGAGACACGCCCCAGACUCCUACGGGAGGCACAGUGCGAAAUAUUGGACAUUGGCAAAGGCCUGACCACCAUGCCCGUAGUGAUGAAUCCCUAGUUCGGAACGGUCU
rnacentral:rRNA from 1 species